CACAAGAGCAGGUAGCAGACAUUUUCACUAAGCCUUUGAAGCGUCAAGUGUUCGAGCGUCUCAGAGGGAAGCUUGGAGUUUGUUCUGCUGGUGGUAAACUAAACUUUGCAACCAAAGUUUAGUUUAAGGAGGGUUUGUUGGUGUUUGGCUGUUGGUGUUUUGGCGCUAAUAAAGUGAUCGUGUUGUGUUUGAUUUGUUUGAAUUGGUCUUUGUGUUUGAGCUAGUGGUCAAUAAGGACCGAGUAUUACGGUCAAGUUUGUUUAGGUUCUGUUUCAGUAUUUUACUCUGUUAGUUGAAGUAUUUUCGGGUUUUCAAGUUGACUGUAAGGCUAUUUAUAGUCAUGGUUUCUUUUGAUUAAUGAGAAGUAAGUUUCAGCAACACAUUGUCCGAUUCCAUUGUUUACAAGUUUCUCACAAUGACGGCCAUGUAAGCUUUGGAACGGCGGCGGCAAUCAACGCCAACAACACACAAGGCGGUGGCCCUAGGAUUCAAUUUGCUUCUCCACCUCACGACUCCGAAGACAAAAUGAACACACAACUAGGCAAAUGACAUUGAUUAGAGCGCAAGCCGGGGUGAACAACAACAUAAGGAAACUGAACAUGAGCAUAAACCGUAGUGGCAACAACCACAUCAUGCAUGUGGUUCUUUUCACGCUCCUCGUCUCCUUUAUCGUCUACAUGUGGUCCAAGAUGUUCAAAAGAUAGCGUAAUAUUAAACAAAAAACUGACGAUGAAUGUUCAGAUCAAUCGGCCAAGAAUGGAAUCUAGCAAUCCCCUAUCUCAAGUUAAAAUAUUAUGGAUUUGGUUGUGAGGUUCUUUUUCUUUUUUAAGAUAAACUGGUUCUGAAAUUAUACUCUGGCGAUUUUAUAUUAUACUUUUUUUUGUAUUAUUA